GGGUUGUGAGGUUAAGCGACUAAGCGUACACGGUGGAUGCCCUGGCAGUCAGAGGCGAUGAAGGGCGUGCUAAUCUGCGAUAAGCGCCGGUAAGGUGAUAUGAACCGUUAUAACCGGCGAUACCCGAAUGGGGAAACCCAGUGUGAUUCGUCACACUAUCAUUAACUGAAUCCAUAGGUUAAUGAGGCGAACCGGGGGAACUGAAACAUCUAAGUACCCCGAGGAAAAGAAAUCAACCGAGAUUCCCCCAGUAGCGGCGAGCGAACGGGGAGGAGCCCAGAGCCUGAAUCAGCAUGUGUGUUAGUGGAAGCGUCUGGAAAGGCGCGCGAUACAGGGUGACAGCCCCGUACACAAAAGCGCAUGUGCUGUGAGCUCGAUGAGUAGGGCGGGACACGUGGUAUCCUGUCUGAAUAUGGGGGGACCAUCCUCCAAGGCUAAAUACUCCUGACUGACCGAUAGUGAACCAGUACCGUGAGGGAAAGGCGAAAAGAACCCCGGCGAGGGGAGUGAAAAAGAACCUGAAACCGUGUACGUACAAGCAGUGGGAGCACCCUUUUGGGUGUGACUGCGUACCUUUUGUAUAAUGGGUCAGCGACUUAUAUUCUGUAGCAAGGUUAACCGAAUAGGGGAGCCGGAGGGAAACCGAGUCUUAAUUGGGCGUUAAGUUGCAGGGUAUAGACCCGAAACCCGGUGAUCUAGCCAUGGGCAGGUUGAAGGUUGGGUAACACUAACUGGAGGACCGAAC
rnacentral:rRNA from 1 species